UACGUAGGGUGCGAGCGUUGUCCGGAAUUACUGGGCGUAAAGAGCUCGUAGGUGGUUUGUCGCGUUGUUCGUGAAAUCUCACGGCUUAACUGUGAGCGUGCGGGCGAUACGGGCAGACUAGAGUACUGCAGGGGAGACUGGAAUUCCUGGUGUAGCGGUGGAAUGCGCAGAUAUCAGGAGGAACACCGGUGGCGAAGGCGACUACCUGGCCUGUUCUUGACGCUGAGGUGCGAAAGCUAGGGGAGCAAACGGG
rnacentral:rRNA from 1 species